UAACCUGCCUCAUACAGGGGGAUAACAGUUAGAAAUGACUGCUAAUACCGCAUAAGCGCACAGCAUCGCAUGAUGCCGUGUGAAAAACUCCGGUGGUAUGAGAUGGACCUGCGUCUGAUUAGCUAGUUGGUGAGGUAACGGCCCACCAAGGCGACGAUCAGUAGCCGACCUGAGAGGGUGACCGGUCACAUUGGGACUGAGACACGGCCCAA
rnacentral:rRNA from 1 species